AUUGAACGCUGGCGGAAUGCUUUACACAUGCAAGUCGAACGGCAGCACGGACUUCGGUCUGGUGGCGAGUGGCGAACGGGUGAGUAAUACAUCGGAACGUGCCCAGUCGUGGGGGAUAACGUAGCGAAAGCUACGCUAAUACCGCAUACGAUCUAAGGAUGAAAGCGGGGGAUGGCAAGACCUCGCGCGAUUGGAGCGGCCGACGGCAGGUUAGGUAGUUGGUAGGGUAAAGGACUACCAAGCCGAAGAUCUGUAGCUGGUCUGAGAGGAUGAUCAGACACACUGGGACUGAGACACGGCCCGGACCACUACGGGAGGCAGCAGAGGGGAAUUUUGGACAAUGGGCGCAAGCCUGAUCCAGCCAUUCCGCGUGCAGGAUGAAAGCCUUCGGGUUGUAAACUGCUUUUGUACAGAACGAAAGGGCUCUGGUUAAUACACGGGGCUCAUGACGGUACUGUAAGAAUAAGCACCGGCUAACUACGUGCCAGCCGCCGCGGUAA
rnacentral:rRNA from 1 species